AUCUGCCUGCCUCAGUCUCCCAAAGUGCUGAGAUUACAGGUGUGAGCCACUGCACCUGGUCAGAAUAGUUUGUUUUUUUUCAACUUGGACAGAAGAAAAUGGACAUCAAGUUUGAACAGAUAAAGCAUGGACAGCCUUAUUGUGAUUGAAUGCUUAUAGGUUCUGUGCCAUUUUUCCACCACUGUGUACUUUGUUGCUAUUUAAAACUGUAUCAACUCUAACGGAAGAAUAAAUUAUUUGUGAUUUUAA